CACGCAGGCGGUCGUGUAAGUUUGGGGUUACAGCUCCCGGCUCAACUGGGAGAGCGCCUUGAAGACUGCAGGACUUGAGGGCCAGAGAGGGACACUGAAUUCCGGGUGUAGUGGUGAAAUGCGUAGAUAUCCGGAGGAAUACCAAAGGCGAAGGCAGUGUCCUGGCUGGUGACUGACGCUGAGGUGCGAAAGCUAGGGGAGCGAACGGGAUUAGAUACCCCGGUAGUCCUAGCCGUAAACGAUGACCACUAGGUGUGGGAGGUAUCGACCCCUUCCGUGCCGCAGCUAACGUGAUAAGUGGUCCGCCUGGGGAGUACGGUCGCAAGAUUAAA
rnacentral:rRNA from 1 species